AGUAAAUUGGUUAAGUUAGAAAGGGCGCACGGUGGAUGCCUUGGCACUAGGAGCCGAAGAAGGACGGGACUAACACCGAUAUGCUUUGGGGAGCUGUACGUAAGCGUUGAUCCAGAGAUUUCCGAAUGGGGGAACCCACUAUCUUUAGUCGGAUAGUAUCCUUACGUGAAUACAUAGCGUAAGGAAGGCAGACCCAGGGAACUGAAACAUCUAAGUACCUGGAGGAAGAGAAAGAAAAAUCGAUUUCCUGAGUAGCGGCGAGCGAAACGGAAAGAGCCCAAACCAAGAAGCUUGCUUCUUGGGGUUGUAGGACACUCUAUACGGAGUUACAAAAGAAAGCUAUAAAUGAAGCGGUCUGGAAAGGCCCGCCAAAGACGGUAACAGCCCGGUAGUUGAAAUGG
rnacentral:rRNA from 2 species